rnacentral:rRNA from 1 species
CACCCGCAGCUCGAGUGGUUGUCACUUUUAUUGAGCCUAAAGCGUUCGUAGCCGGUUUUGUAAAUCCUCAGACAAAUUCUCCUGCUUAACGGGAGAUACUCUGGAGAGACUGCGAAACUAGGGACCGGGUGAGGUUGAAGGUACUUCUGGGGUAGGGGUAAAAUCCUGUAAUCCUGGAAGGACGACCAGUGGCGAAGGCGUUCAACUAGAACGGAUCCGACGGUGAGGAGCGAGGGCUAGGGGAGCAAACAGG